ensembl:lncRNA
GUGUGUGUGUGUCUGUGUGUGUGUGUGUCUGUGUGUGUGUGUGUGUGUGUGUGUGUGUGUCUGUGUGUGUCUGUGUGUGUGUGUGUGUGUGUCUGUGUGUGUGUGUGUGUGUGUGUGUGUGUGUGUGUGUGUGUCUGUGUCUGUGUGUGUGUGUGAGUGUGUCUGUGUGUGAGUGUGUCUGUGUGUGUGUGUGUGUGUGUGUGUGUGUGUGUCUGUGUGUGUGUGUGUGUGUGUGUGUGUGUGUGUCUGUGUGUGUCUGUGUGUGUGAGAGUGUUUCCUAUGUGGCCUGUGUAGUGAUAUCUCUAUCCUUGUGUUUGCAGGUACAUACUGACGUCUGAUGUCAGUCAGCGCACUAAAUGCUGUCUGUUGUCUGCGUACCUGUUCAAGUCUCUGUUGCAGGCCUCCCUGCCCCAUCCUCAGGCCAACCUGCAGUACUCCUCCUACACUGUAGUGGGCGAUCUCAUACCAGGGCUGGAUCUGUUUGCGGACCCCCAGAGGGGCGGCCUCAGUGCUACCGUCUCCAGCCUGGGCUUCCUGUGCCACUGGCUCUAUGCUGCAGGACACUACGUCACGGUGCUGCCGGUGCUCUGUCUCUACCUGCAUUUAGUGGGCAGGGUCUGCAAGGACCCACAUCUCACUGUCAGGGCCAGGAUUCUCAAGGUACGGACCCUGACUGAGUUGGGCAUGUUCAGUCAGGCCCUGAGAGAAGUGAGGCGGCUGGUGAAUGCUGAUGAUGUACCCCUGCCCCACACCUACAACAGCACAGGAGACACAGCUAGAGUAAGAGAUACACACACACACACACACACACACACACACACACACACACACACACACCUACAACAGCACAGGAGACACAACUAGAGUAAGAGCCACACACACACACACACACACACACACACACACACACACCUACAACAGCACAGGAGACACAACUAGAGUAAGAGCCACAACACACACACACACACACACACACACACACACACACACACACACACACACACACCUACAACAGCACAGGAGACACAACUAGAGUAAGAGAUACACACACACACACACACACACACACACACACGCACACACACACCUACAACAGCACAGGAGACACAACUAGAGUAAGAGCCACACACACACACACACACACACACACACACACACACCUACAACAGCACAGGAGACACAACUAGAGUAAGAAGCCACACACACACACACACACACACACACACACACACACACACACCUACAACAGCACAGGAGACACAACUAGAGUAAGAGAUACACACACACACACACCACACACACACACACACCUACAACAGCACAGGAGACAGAACUAGAGUAAGAGCCACACACACACACACACACACACACACACACACACACACACACCUACACAGCACAGGAGACACAACUAGAGUAAGAGCCACACACACACACACACACACACACACACACACACCUACAACAGCACAGGAGACACAACUAGAGUAAGAGCCACACACACACACACACACACACACACACAACACACACACACACACACACACACACACACCUACAACAGCACAGGAGACACAACUAGAGUAAGAGAUACACACCACACACAACACACACACACACACACGCACACACACACCUACAACAGCACAGGAGACACAACUAGAGUAAGAGCCACAC